rnacentral:rRNA from 1 species
GAAUCCCGUGAACCAUCGAGUCUUUGAACGCAAGUUGCGCCCGAAGCCUUCGGGCCGAGGGCACGCCUGCCUGGGCGUCACGCAUCGCGUCGCCCCCCCCCACCCCGGGAGGGGGGGCGGAGACNGGCCUCCCGNGCGCCCCCGUCGCGCGGCCGGCCC